AAAAUACUCCCUCCGUCCCAAAAUUCUUGUCUUAGAUUUGUCUAGAUACGGAUGUAUCAAGUCAUUCUUGUCUUAGAUUUGUCUAAAUACGGAUGUAUCAAGUCACAUUUUAGUAUUAGAUACAUCCGUAUCUAGACAAAUCUAAGACAAGAAUUUUGGGAUGGAGGGAGUAUGUA
rnacentral:pre_miRNA from 1 species